rnacentral:rRNA from 2 species
UGGGGAAUCUUAGACAAUGGGCGCAAGCCUGAUCUAGCCAUGCCGCGUGAGCGAUGAAGGCCUUAGGGUUGUAAAGCUCUUUCAGUGGGGAAGAUAAUGACUGUACCCACAGAAGAAGCCCCGGCUAACUCCGUGCCAGCAGCCGCGGUAAUACGGAGGGGGCUAGCGUUGUUCGGAAUUACUGGGCGUAAAGCGCACGUAGGCGGACCAGAAAGUAGGGGGUGAAAUCCCGGGGCUCAACCUCGGAACUGCCUUCUAAACUCCUGGUCUUGAGGUCGAGAGAGGUGAGUGGAAUUCCGAGUGUAGAGGUGAAAUUCGUAGAUAUUCGGAGGAACACCAGUGGCGAAGGCGGCUCACUGGCUCGAUACUGACGCUGAGGUGCGAAAGCGUGGGGAGCAAACAGG